GACGAACGCUGGCGGCGUGCCUAAUACAUGCAAGUAGAACGCUGAAGGAGGAGCUUGCUUCUCCGGAUGAGUUGCGAACGGGUGAGUAACGCGUAGGUAACCUGCCUGGUAGCGGGGGAUAACUAUUGGAAACGAUAGCUAAUACCGCAUAAGAGUAGAUGUCGCAUGACAUUUGCUUAAAAGGUGCAACUGCACCACUACCAGAUGGACCUGCGUUGUAUUAGCUAGUUGGUGAGGUAACGGCUCACCAAGGCAACGAUACAUAGCCGACCUGAGAGGGUGAUCGGCCACACUGGGACUGAGAAACGGCCCAGACUCCUACGGGAGGCAGCAGUAGGGGAUCUUCGGCAAUGGACGGAAGUCUGACCGAGCAACGCCGCGUGAGUGAAGAAGGUUUUCGGAUCGUAAAGCUCUGUUGUAAGAGAAGAACGAGUGUGAGAGUGGAAAGUUCACACUGUGACGGUAUCUUACCAGAAAGGGACGGCUAACUACGUG
rnacentral:rRNA from 1 species